GACGAAGGGGGCUAGCGUUGUUCGGAAUUACUGGGCGUAAAGCGUGUGUAGGUGGUUGUCAUAGUCAGGUGUGAAAGCCUUGAGCUCAACUCAAGAAAUGCACUUGAUACUGGGCAGCUAGAGGACCGGAGAGGAUAGUGGAAUUCCCAGUGUAGUGGUGAAAUACGUAGAGAUUGGGAAGAACACCAGUGGCGAAGGCGGCUAUCUGGACGGUUUCUGACACUAAGACACGAAAGCGUGGGGAGCAAACAGGG
rnacentral:rRNA from 1 species